rnacentral:rRNA from 1 species
GAUGAACGCUAGCUACAGGCUUAACACAUGCAAGUCGAGGGGCAGCAUGGGGUUUGCUUGCAAACCCUGAUGGCGACCGGCGCACGGGUGAGUAACGCGUAUCCAACCUUCCCGUCACUCGGGGACAGCCCAGCGAAAGCUGGAUUAACCCCCGAUGUUGUCAUAUGAUAGCAUUAGAGUGUGACGAAAGGCUAACGGUGACGGAUGGGGAUGCGUCUGAUUAGGUAGUAGGCGGGGUAACGGCCCACCUAGCCGACGAUCAGUAGGGGUUCUGAGAGGAAGGUCCCCCACAUUGGAACUGAGACACGGUCCAAACUCCUACGGGAGGCAGCAGUGAGGAAUAUUGGUCAAUGGGCGAGAGCCUGAACCAGCCAAGUAGCGUGCAGGAUGACGGCCCUAUGGGUUGUAAACUGCUUUUAUAAGGGAAUAAAGUGAGUCUCGUGAGACUUUUUGCAUGUACCUUAUGAAUAAGGACCGGCUAAUUCCGUG